rnacentral:lncRNA from 1 species
UUUCUAACCCCGCCAGCCCCAGCCACCUAUUGCAGAUUCCUCUAGGGUUCACUUGAUGAGAGCCAUCCUUGAGCCGAAGCUGACAACAACCUGGUUGUUGCAGGUAAUCUGGCGGGAAGUUUUUAAAUUGCCCGACGUCUGGCUUGAUGACGCACUGACGUUGGAACUGAGGGGCUUUUUUCCCGAGGCUUUGUGGGACUUGUAGUCCUUUGGCGCAGGACUUGGAGGUGAAGGUAGGGCUGGGGGAGCGGGCCCCCCCCGGGUUCAGUUGCAGAUGCACUUUGAGAGAAGGAGAAGGCAGGGGAUUCCUGCAGAAAAAGCGCAUUACGCUGCCCUUUCCUUCUCUUCUCCCCCCUCCCCCCGCCCGUUUUUUGGCUCGGACAUUUGGGGAACUUCAGGCAGCCGUUGAAGGGCAGGUAAAGGAAGAGCCAAAGAGGCGGUCACCUAGAUUAUCUGCUAAGCCUGUUCCUCCUAAAUCUGAGCCCAAAACCAAAAAGGCAGCAGCCCCAAAGAAAGUGAACGUAGCAAAUGAUAAAAAGGAAAUCAAAGGCAAGAAAGGGGCUGCCAAAGUCAAAGUGGAAACCAAGCAGGAGGAAGUGAAAGAAGAAAACCACUCUGAAAAUGGAGAGACCCAAACUAAUGAGGUGCCAGCUGUGGAAGAACCCGAGGAGAAAGUAACCAAGCCUGAGUAAUACGUAACACUGCCCUAUAUCUCCAUCAGUUUGGUAUCUGUAACUCCAUCCUGUAUUGUCGACAGAGAGGAAUAUUUUUAUCAACUAUUUUCUAAAUGCAGGUUUUUUUUUUUUAGCAUGAAGUUAAUUUUGGAACGUCUCCAUCUUGGUCGCUUGGGUAUGAUGUCACCAACAACAUAUCACUGUCUCUGCAUUUUGUGAUUGUAAUAGUUUGAUCUAUGGGAAGAAUAAGUGGUGGUAGCUUCUGACUUUUGUCACUGUGUACCCUUCCUUGUGUAAGCUAUCCUUUCCGUCCUUUGAAUUUUUCUUUGGCCCUGGUACAUGUUUAAUUCAGUGAAGUGGGGAGGCCCCAAGUAGAAAGUUCUUGCAUCGGCUAGUCCGGGGUGUCUGUGGGUUGAUUUUAUAAAGAAGGUGAGCUAUUUUCAUGAAAUUCUAAGAGUUGGAAAUAUCUUUCCCAAAUAUAACUUUAAUAUUAGUUUUUGAAAGAAAGUAAAAUGUAAUCAUGUUUUUAAAUGAAAUACAAAUGUUUAUUUCAGAAGGGCAGGUUGAUUGUAUGUGUAGCCACUAUUAGAAAUUUUGCUGGAUUUAUCUUAAUAAAAUAAAAAGACUCCUCA